rnacentral:rRNA from 1 species
AAUGAACGUUGGCGGCGUGGAUUAGGCAUGCAAGUCGUACGCACAGCAAUGUGAGUGGCGCAAGGGUGAGUAAUGAGAAGGUAACCAACCCUGAAGUUGGGCAUAGCCGCGGGAAACUGCGGGUAAUACCCAGCGACGUCACGAGGUGGCAUCAUCUUGUGACCAAAGGUGUGAUUCCGCUUUAGGACGGGCCUUCUUGGUAUUAGGUAGUUGGUAGGGUAACGGCCUACCAAGCCUACGAUGCCUACCGGGUGUGAGAGCAUGACCCGGCACACUGGAACUGAGACACUGUCCAGACACCUACGGGUGGCUGCAGUCGAGGAUCAUCGGCAAUGGGCGAAAGCCUGACCGAGCGACGCCGCGUGCGGGAUGAAGGCCUUCGGGUUGUAAACCGCUGUCGUAGAGGAGGAAAUGCAGGGGGGUUCUCCCUUCUGUUUGACCUAUUCUAGGAGGAAGGACGGGCUAAGUUCGUGCCAGCAGCCGCGGUAA